GACGAACGCUGGCGGCGUGCUUAACACAUGCAAGUCGAACGGAAAGGCCCUGCUUCUUUGGUCUACUCGAGUGGCGAACGGGCGAGUAACACGUGAGUAACCUACCUUCGACUUUGGGAUAACUUCAGGAAACUGAGGCUAAUUCCGGCCAGGAGCUCCCUCUUCAUGGUGUGGGUUGGAAAGUUUCGGCGGUUGGGAAUGGACUCGCGGCAUUUCAGCUUGUGGGUGGGGUAGUGGCUUACGAAGGCUGUGACGGGUCGCCGGCCUGAGAGGGUGACCGGCCACAUUGGGACUGAGAUGCGGCCCGGACUCCUACGGGAGGAAGCAGUGGGAAAUAGUGCACAAUGGGCGGAAGCCUGAUGCAGCAACGCCGCGUGCGAGAUGACGGCCUUCGGGUUGUAAACCGCUUUCGCCUGUGACGAAGAGUGAGUGACGGUAAUGGGUAAAGAAGCAACGGCUAACUACGUG
rnacentral:rRNA from 1 species